AUCGAACGCUGGCGGCAGGCCUAACACAUGCAAGUCGAGCGAGCGGCGGACGGGUGAGUAAUGUCUGGGAAACUGCCUGAUGUAGGGGUAUAACUACUGGAAACGGUAGCUAAUACCGCAUACCAUCAGAUGGGCCCAGAGGGGAUUAGCUAGUAGGUGGGGUAACGGCUCACCUAGGCGACGAUGCCUAGCUGGUCUGAGAGGAUGACCGGCCACACUGGAACUGAGACACGGUCCAGACUCCUACGGGAGGCAGCAGUGGGGAAUAUUGCACAAUGGGCGCAAGCCUGAUGCAGCCAUGCCGCGUGUAUGAAGAAGGCCUUCGGGUUGUAAAGUACUUUCAGCGGGGAGGCGUUACCCGCAGAAGAAGCACCGGCUAACUCCGUGCCAGCAGCCGCGGUAAUUC
rnacentral:rRNA from 1 species